GGGUCAAUGAUGUAAUCUUUGUCUUGACUCAAGUGAGGUGUUUUCUUAAAAGUCUUCUGCAAUAGAAUUAUAGUGAGGACU
rnacentral:snoRNA from 1 species